UUAAGCGACUAAGCGUACACGGUGGAUGCCCUGGCAGUCAGAGGCGAUGAAGGACGUGCUAAUCUGCGAUAAGCGCCGUAAGGUGAUAUGAACCGUUAUAACCGGCGAUUUCCGAAUGGGGAAACCCAGUGUGACUCGUCACACUAUCAUUAACUGAAUCCAUAGGUUAAUGAGGCGAACCGGGGGAACUGAAACAUCUAAGUACCCCGAGGAAAAGAAAUCAACCGAGAUUCCCCCAGUAGCGGCGAGCGAACGGGGAGGAGCCCAGAGCCUGAAUCAGCAUGUGUGUUAGUGGAAGCGUCUGGAAAGGCGCGCGAUACAGGGUGACAGCCCCGUACACAAAAGCGCAUGUGCUGUGAGCUCGAUGAGUAGGGCGGGACACGUGGUAUCCUGUCUGAAUAUGGGGGGGACCAUCCUCCAAGGCUAAAUACUCCUGACUGACCGAUAGUGAACCAGUACCGUGAGGGAAAGGCGAAAAGAACCCCGGCGAGGGGAGUGAAAAAGAACCUGAAACCGUGUACGUACAAGCAGUGGGAGCCCCACCACUAAGCCAGUGGUGAACUCCACAUACGCAUCCUUUGCUGAGGAUACGGUUAACGGAGCGAAAGCGACGUUCAACCGCAAAAAAAGAAGCAGAGGGGGCUUAGUGGUGGGGUGACUGCGUACCUUUUGUAUAAUGGGUCAGCGACUUAUAUUCUGUAGCAAGGUUAACCGCAUAGGGGAGCCGGAGGGAAACCGAGUCUUAAUUGGGCGUUAAGUUGCAGGGUAUAGACCCGAAACCCGGUGAUCUAGCCAUGGGCAGGUUGAAGGUUGGGUAACACUAACUGGAGGACCGAACCGACUAAUGUUGAAAAAUUAGCGGAUGACCUGUGGCUGGGGGUGAAAGGCCAAUCAAACCGGGAGAUAGCUGGUUCUCCCCGAAAGCUAUUUAGGUAGCGCCUCGUGAAUUCAUCUCCGGGGGUAGAGCACUGUUUCGGCUAGGGGGCCAUCCCGGCUUACCAACCCGAUGCAAACUGCGAAUACCGGAGAAUGUUAUCACGGGAGACACACGGCGGGUGCUAACGUCCGUCGUGAAGAGGGAAACAACCCAGACCGCCAGCUAAGGUCCCAAAGUCAUGGUUAAGUGGGAAACGAUGUGGGAAGGCCCAGACAGCCAGGAUGUUGGCUUAGAAGCAGCCAUCAUUUAAAGAAAGCGUAAUAGCUCACUGGUCGAGUCGGCCUGCGCGGAAGAUGUAACGGGGCUAAACCAUGCACCGAAGCUGCGGCAGCGACGCUGAUGCGUUGUUGGGUAGGGGAGCGUUCUGUAAGCCUGCGAAGGUGUGUCGUGAGGCAUGCUGGAGGUAUCAGAAGUGCGAAUGCUGACAUAAGUAACGAUAAAGCGGGUGAAAAGCCCGCUCGCCGGAAGACCAAGGGUUCCUGUCCAACGUUAAUCGGGGCAGGGUGAGUCGACCCCUAAGGCGAGGCCGAAAGGCGUAGUCGAUGGGAAACGGGUUAAUAUUCCCGUACUUGGUGUUACUGCGAAGGGGGGACGGAGAAGGCUAUGUUGGCCGGGCGACGGUUGUCCCGGUUUAAGCGUGUAGGUGUGUGUUCCAGGUAAAUCCGGUUCACUUUAACACUGAGGCGUGAUGACGAGGCACUACGGUGCUGAAGCAACAAAUGCCCUGCUUCCAGGAAAAGCCUCUAAGCAUCAGGUAACAUCAAAUCGUACCCCAAACCGACACAGGUGGUCAGGUAGAGAAUACCAAGGCGCUUGAGAGAACUCGGGUGAAGGAACUAGGCAAAAUGGUGCCGUAACUUCGGGAGAAGGCACGCUGACACGUAGGUGAAGUGAUUUACUCAUGGAGCUGAAGUCAGUCGAAGAUACCAGCUGGCUGCAACUGUUUAUUAAAAACACAGCACUGUGCAAACACGAAAGUGGACGUAUACGGUGUGACGCCUGCCCGGUGCCGGAAGGUUAAUUGAUGGGGUCAGCGCAAGCGAAGCUCCUGAUCGAAGCCCCGGUAAACGGCGGCCGUAACUAUAACGGUCCUAAGGUAGCGAAAUUCCUUGUCGGGUAAGUUCCGACCUGCACGAAUGGCGUAAUGAUGGCCAGGCUGUCUCCACCCGAGACUCAGUGAAAUUGAACUCCGCUGUGAAGAUGCAGUGUACCCGCGGCAAGACGGAAAGACCCCGUGAACCUUUACUAUAGCUUGACACUGAACAUUGAGCCUUGAUGUGUAGGAUAGGUGGGAGGCUUUGAAGUGUGGACGCCAGUCUGCAUGGAGCCGGCCUUGAAAUACCACCCUUUAAUGUUUGAUGUUCUAACGUGGACCCGUGAUCCGGGUUGCGGACAGUGUCUGGUGGGUAGUUUGACUGGGGCGGUCUCCUCCUAAAGAGUAACGGAGGAGCACGAAGGUUGGCUAAUCCUGGUCGGACAUCAGGAGGUUAGUGCAAUGGCAUAAGCCAGCUUGACUGCGAGCGUGACGGCGCGAGCAGGUGCGAAAGCAGGUCAUAGUGAUCCGGUGGUUCUGAAUGGAAGGGCCAUCGCUCAACGGAUAAAAGGUACUCCGGGGAUAACAGGCUGAUACCGCCCAAGAGUUCAUAUCGACGGCGGUGUUUGGCACCUCGAUGUCGGCUCAUCACAUCCUGGGGCUGAAGUAGGUCCCAAGGGUAUGGCUGUUCGCCAUUUAAAGUGGUACGCGAGCUGGGUUUAGAACGUCGUGAGACAGUUCGGUCCCUAUCUGCCGUGGGCGCUGGAGAACUGAGGGGGCUGCUCCUAGUACGAGAGGACCGGAGUGGACGCAUCACUGGUGUUCGGGUUGUCAUGCCAAUGGCACUGCCCGGUAGCUAAAUGCGGAAGAGAUAAGUGCUGAAAGCAUCUAAGCACGAAACUUGCCCCGAGAUGAGUUCUCCCUGAGACUUAGAGUCUCCUGAAGGAACGUUGAAGACGACGACGUUGAUAGGCCGGGUGUGUAAGCGCAGCGAUGCGUUGAGCUAACCGGUACUAAUGAACCGUGAGGCUUAACCUU
rnacentral:rRNA from 1 species